AUUGAACGCUGGCGGCAGGCCUAACACAUGCAAGUCGAACGAGUGGCGGACGGGUGAGUAAUGUCUGGGAAACUGCCCGAUGGAGGGGGAUAACUACUGGUAACGGUAGCUAAUACCGCAUACCAUCGGAUGUGCCCAGAUGGGAUUAGCUAGUUGGUGGGGUAACGGCUCACCUAGGCGACGAUCCCUAGCUGGUCUGAGAGGUGGACAGGCGAGACUGGACCUGAGACACGGUCAAGACUCCUACGGGAGGCAGCAGUGGGGAAGAUUGCAAAAUGGGCGCAAGCCUGAUGCAGCCAUGCCGCUUGUAUGAAGAAGGCCGUCGGGUUGGAAAGUACUUUCAGCGAGGAGGCGUUACUCGCAGAAGAAGCACCGGCUAACUCCGUGCCAGCAGCCGCGGUAAUUC
rnacentral:rRNA from 1 species